rnacentral:rRNA from 1 species
CUUGCUCCUUUGACGUUAGCGGCGGACGGGUGAGUAACACGUGGGCAACCUACCUUAUAGUUUGGGAUAACUCCGGGAAACCGGGGCUAAUACCGAAUAAUCUGUUUCACCUCAUGGUGAAAUAUUGAAAGACGGUUUCGGCUGUCGCUAUAGGAUGGGCCCGCGGCGCAUUAGCUAGUUGGUGAGGUAACGGCUCACCAAGGCGACGAUGCGUAGCCGACCUGAGAGGGUGAUCGGCCACACUGGGACUGAGACACGGCCCAGACUCCUACGGGAGGCAGCAGUAGGGAAUCUUCCACAAUGGGCGAAAGCCUGAUGGAGCAACGCCGCGUGAGUGAAGAAGGAUUUCGGUUCGUAAAACUCUGUUGUAAGGGAAGAACAAGUACAGUAGUAACUGGCUGUACCUUGACGGUACCUUAUUAGAAAGCCACGGCUAACUACGUGCCAGCAGCCGCGGUAAUACGUAGGUGGCAAGCGUUGUCCGGAAUUAUUGGGCGUAAAGCGCGCGCAGGUGGUUUCUUAAGUCUGAUGUGAAAGCCCACGGCUCAACCGUGGAGGGUCAUUGGAAACUGGGAGACUUGAGUGCAGAAGAGGAUAGUGGAAUUCCAAGUGUAGCGGUGAAAUGCGUAGAGAUUUGGAGGAACACCAGUGGCGAAGGCGACUAUCUGGUCUGUAACUGACACUGA